rnacentral:lncRNA from 1 species
UGCUCCCUGGAAUGCACGAAGAGGAAUAGUUUUGCUGCCCAGCCUCACAUUUUUGAACCAUGAUUCUGCUGAUAUCAGCAGCAGAGUGCUGAUUCAUCUUCUGUUUUGCUGCUGCCUUGGUCCUAUGAAAAGAUAAAAAAGUCACUACUGUGAUAGGGUAAAAUAAAAAUGAGCUUUAAAGAAACUACCAUUUUUGCCCUAGGGAAUGAAGAUCCCUUAAAAGACACAAUAAACCGACACACUGAUGAUAUGUUCAUGUUACAGGGGAUGGUGAUGAUUUUAACCAUUGACUGGGAGUGCUGUGGUUCCGUACACUGGAGUGGGACCUGUUCACACAGGAAAGCCCAGAAAGGCGGGCUUUGUAGGCUUUGACUUCCAUCCAAAUUUUCAGGUGAUAUGUGACUCUAUUAAAAUCAGUGGCGACAUUGAGACUGAGCACAGCAGAGUCACAGCUCGAAUCUGAAUAUGGACAUGCCACACUUCAGUUGCUGGAGAAGUUUGGAAAUGGUUUGAAUGAAAUUUAAAUGAAUGUCCCGUAGCUGGUGACAUCCUCCCUACAAAGAGCUGACUCAGAGCAAUGCUGAUGUGGAAGUCACAGCCGCUCUGUGCUGGUAAUUCCCAUGUUUGGAUCAGGAAAAUGAUUGCAAAUGAGAUUCUUGUCCACCCACCAUGUGCAAUGACCAUAAACAGCUUCUGUUUCUCUGUCAUGCCUUCUCUCUGCCGACCCCCAUUUCGAAAAGACCAAACUAUGUUGCAAAACCAGAAAGCCAAGUACUGCAAAAUGCUUCUUGGACCAUCUUGGAUGUGUUAACUCGAAGACUGCUGAUGACUUCAGUAGAUUUGAAUCUUAUGAAUGCGUGAUUGCAGUGCCUGGGGAUAAUGUAACCAGCAACGUGAUUUAUGUUCAUACUUUUGGACCAGAGGGAGGUACCAUAGGGUAGAAUAUGUGUCUUUGAAUAACAAUGCAUUAUUUUAUCACUGCAUUUCAACAUGUUUUGAACAACUCGGAUAAUGCAGAGUAGGGGAGGAGGCUUAGAAACACAAAUGACAAAUCUCAUCAACUG